rnacentral:lncRNA from 1 species
AGGGAUUCUAAAUUAAAAUAGUAUGGUAAUGUCAGUGAAAGAUCUCAAUAUGGAAAGGGUCUACUGCCAUCAACUGCAUAGAAUGGUAUAAAACACAACAAAAUUUAAAGGACAAACCUCCACGUUUAUGGGGUCAUGUCCAAUGUCAACAUCUCCCCCAUGCUCGCCCACCUCCACGUUUAUGGGGUCAUGUCCAAUGUCAGCAUCUCCUCCAUGCUCGCCCCCUGUCUCAGCUAUAAAUUCGGCUCCAUGAGUUGAGUCGGUCUGUUUACCCGGAGAUAGUCCUCCACCCCUUUCUCCUUCAUCCAGAUUCUGUCCCAAACCAACCGAGGCGGUCU